CGCCGCUCAGGGGGCUGUGCUGCGGGGUGGCCUGGGAGUUGCUGUCCAGCGCGAGAAGGCACGGAAAACAGACGUUUUCGAGUGGGCCUCGGCUGGAAGCUAAUUGCCGCUGUGUUGAGCGUCGCUGUAGAAGCUGCCUGGUGGACUCCAGGAAAGAGAAGUAAGCACUACAAUUCAUUUCCGAGUCCUAAGCAGCACUUCCUCAGCAAAAGUAUCGCCCACGCCCGGGCUCGGCUCGUUGUCCACGCCCUCCAGCCCAUUGGGGCACGCGCUUCUGCGGGCAGAAGCCCAAAGUGUCAAACCGGUGAGCUGCUACAGACACUGAGGGGUUACUGGCCAAGGAGGAAGGUAACUCAGAGUACAGCAUGAAGGAGGAAUUCUCCGUCUCCAUGAGAUCUUGAUUUGGAAGCAUCUUGGAAGAUCCAGGACCUGGAACACAUGGAGGGAUUGAACUCAUGACCUCAUGCCAAUCAGGCAAGCACUUAAGCCACUGAGCUAAAUCCCCAGCCCCAGGAAGUGCUUUUAUGUCCUCAGGACAUGAGGACAUAGCUCUGUGAAGGGCUGAAGCCAUGGUGGAAGAUACAGCAUUGGGGUGACACAUCUCCCUAGAGCCUUAUGCUGUUUAGUCAGCCUUCUCCUUGAGCCACACCACACCCAUGGUGAAUUUCGACCCCUGCCAAACAGACUACAAUUACUGACAGCCAUGCACAAAACCCCAUGACUGCAGAAGAGGCUCUUCUCAGUCUGGAGAAACAUACACCAGCCAAAUAGACUACAUCCAGUGUUAUGCGAGGCAAGCUCCAAGACACAAGAGAAUGACUUCAUACAGAGACACCAACAAAUGGCUGUCAACCCCUUCUCCUCGAUUUGGGGGGGGGGGAGUUUUUCCCUUACCUAGCUCCCCUUUUGGGUCCCCUAGCUGCCCUAUUGUUUCUCCUUUCUGUGAGUCCUUGUAUUUUUCAGAGGAUUAUGAUGCUCAUUAAUAACCGGAUAGACGCGUUUAUGGCAAAGCCCAUUCAGGUACACUAUCAUCAGCUGGAGAUGGCAGAUCAACAAACCUACCAAAAAGAAAUUCCCACGAGUGGCCCAUAUGAUGAUGCGGCCUAACUGCCCUGAAGCAAUGGACAGACAGAGACGGGCAACUAGGACAUACAUGUUAAUUCCAACGGCCACCUAAGACAGACACAAGACCAACUGCUGUUCUGCAAGCCCAUGACGGGUAAGGCCUGGUUGGGUUCAUACAAUGAGGUCCUUGACCUAAGACAGACGCUGUCCUCACAGGGCCUGCCAUACUCUUAAUUAAAUAAUAUAAAAAGGGAGGAGAUGUAGGGAGCCGAGUGACAGGCAUUGCUGCCUCCAUGCCUCUCUCUCCUAUGGGCACCGUGUCUGCCUAUAUUAACCAUAAUCCUCUCCUGCUUAUGUCACGUAUCCGGAUGUGACGGUGACCCUGUUGUAUUCAUCUGUUUAACCUCUUCCUGUCCCAGCUCCCGCCCUUAGCCUAUAAAAGGUGUGAUCAUUUCCUGAAUAAACUGGAGGCUUGAUCAGAUCA